GCGUCUUCCAACGCCAUUUUCCGGUGGCCUUGUCGGCUGAUCUCGACGGCGAUCGGCUCCCCUCGGUGAGAGCUUCCUUUUGGCAGCAGCGGCGACGCUAAUGGUGGCCGAAGAUGGAAGAUCCGGUGGAGAGAGAAAGUAGGAGGCAGCCAAUUUUUUCGGCUUUUCUGACAAGCUCCAGCGGGGGAUGAAUGAUCGGAGGACAUAUCUGGACUCCCCUCAGCUCAAGCUUCGCAAUGGCACCAGUUUCGUAGCGAUCGGACUCCGUUUGUAAAUUGACGGCCGAGAUCGUCCGUAAAUCUCUCCGGAUGAUCGGGGUCGAAUUAGAGAAUCGGAAGCAGGGAUCGUCAUCAGCGUGUCAUUUCGAGUCCGAUAGUAUGUUCAGAUCAUCGAUCGGACUCUGGCGGCUGGAGGCGAGUCGGCUGAGCGAUCAAGCGUCUCGGUGCUGGACCCAUUCUACGGGGGGCAAAUGUUCGUAUUGUGGGGGAGGUUCUGCCGAAUUUUCGGUAGAAUUUACCCGGGUCGAGAUUCUUAGACAGUCAGUCCUAGGAAUCUAGACCUAGGGUUAAUUGUCAAAUUGUUUUCCGUGAUUAGAUAAUUCGUAUGUUCGGCUCACUCUAACCGAGGCACCGGAGCAGAGCUAGGAGGUCGCCAAAGCUAUCCGUGACUGUUAGUCUUCCCGCGACUCUUAUCUAGUAACCCGACUCCUUCAUCAUCAGGUGAUGUAAUUGAGUUGUUAUGUUAAUUUGUAAAAUUUUAGAUUCUCCGCAGUAGAAAUAGUAGAUAUAUAUCAGUUGAAGUUUUCAGUAGUUUCGGUCUCGCCUAAUUCUUCUGGCAGACCGAAUUAAUUAUGUAAAAUUUAACGGUUAAGAUAAAUUGUGGUAUCAGUAAAAAAAAGAUGAGAUUAAAUUGAGUUAGUGAGUGUCAGGCUUACUACGGGUUUCGGUAGCCUUACGCCUACCCAUUCCCUAGUGCCGGUCACGGGCCCACAGAUCGGGUAGUGACAGGAGCAUGAGGGCUCUUGCUAUUUGUAACAAGUUCUUGUGUUUUCUUUCCACCACACCAUUUUGUUGGGGUGUGUAUGGACAACUUCUUUGAUGAAUGAUUCCUUCAUUAGCAAUGAGUUUCUGAAA